rnacentral:rRNA from 1 species
ACACUAUGUGUUGUUGGGUAGGGGAGCGUUCUGUAAGCCGUCGAAGGUGGCCUGUGAGGGCUGCUGGAGGUAUCAGAAGUGCGAAUGCUGACAUAAGUAACGAUAAAGCGGGUGAAAAGCCCGCUCGCCGGAAGACCAAGGGUUCCUGUUCAACGUUAAUCGGAGCAGGGUGAGUCGACCCCUAAGGCGAGGCCGAAAGGCGUAGUCGAUGGGAAACAGGUUAAUAUUCCUGUACUCGGUGUUACUGCGAAGGGGGGACGGAGAAGGCUAUAUCAGCCGGGCGACGGUUGUCCCGGUUUAAGCGUGUAGGCGGAGAGUUUAGGUAAAUCCGGACUCUUAUCAACGCUGAGGCGUGACGACGAGGCACUACGGUGCUGAAGUGAUAAAUGCCCAGCUUCCAGGAAAAGCCUCUAAGCAUCAGGUAACACAGAAUCGUACCCCAAACCGACACAGGUGGUCAGGUAGAGAAUACCAAGGCGCUUGAGAGAACUCGGGUGAAGGAACUAGGCAAAAUGGUGCCGUAACUUCGGGAGAAGGCACGCUGGCGCGUAGGUGGAGGGACUUGCUCCCCGAGCUGAAGC